AGAUGGAGUGGUUAACUGAAGUUUAACAAGGCCUGUUUCCAAGAAGCCAGGAAUGAAAACCCCAGCUUUGAAAUUCAGCCACAGUGGUCACAUCAGGUCAAAGAUGCAAAAUUGCUGCCGAACUUGUGAUGAACUCCAAAUUUAUUUUCUAGGCAUUUCUUCUAUGCCACAGGCAUGUGGGUCGCAAAUUAAAACAACGAAAGAGACACAUUGAAGAAAUAGAGACUUGGAAAGGAAACUGGAAUUGUUUAUUGCUGACUGUUCUCAGAGCAGCCUGAGCCAGCUGGGACAGCAGGUGAUGCUGCUGCUCCUGACCCAGAGACCGCACUUGGAGAGACUCUAGGUAGACACACUUCCCUCCUGUUUUUCCACUUGGCUUUGGAAAAUCUGCCUGGUUCCUGGACAGAGCCAGUGCUAUGGUUGGGGUACAGUUUGUGCCCUACAAAGAACUCUUGACAGCCAAUCACCCACCAAGUGCCUUGCAGCUUACAUAUUCUGGGGAUAAGCUGAUGGAAAUUAAGAGUGAAAUGCUAACAUUUGGAAAAAUCUGUCACUUAGAGAAAUGGAACUCUAAGCAGCAGGUGCACACUUGCUCUGAAAGUCCUUGAUGAGAACCAAUGGGAAAUUCUCCGUGCAGCUGCACCCAAGAGGUACUAUCUGCAU